rnacentral:rRNA from 1 species
UACGUAGGGGGCAAGCGUUGUCCGGAUUCAUUGGGCGUAAAGAGCGUGUAGGCGGCCAGGUAGGUCGGUUGUGAAAACUGGAGGCUCAACCUUCAGAGGUCGACCGAAACCAUCUGGCUAGAGUCCGGGAGAGGAGAGUGGAAUUCCUGGUGUAGCGGUGAAAUGCGCAGAUAUCAGGAGGAACACCUGUGGCGAAAGCGGCUCACUGGCCCGGUACUGACGCUGAGGUGCGAAAGCGUGGGGAGCGAACAGG